AUACGAAGGGGGCAAGCGUUGUUCGGAAUAACUGGGCGUAAAGCGCACGUAGGCGGAAUGUUAAGUUAGAGGUGAAAUCCCAGGGCUCAACCCUGGAACGGCCUUUAAUACUGGCAAUCUAGAGACCGAGAGAGGUGAGUGGAAUUCCGAGUGUAGAGGUGAAAUUCGUAGAUAUUCGGAGGAACACCAGUGGCGAAGGCGGCUCACUGGCUCGGUACUGACGCUGAGGUGCGAAAGCGUGGAGCAAACAGGAUUAGAAACCCUAGUAGUCC
rnacentral:rRNA from 1 species